UUCCCUUCAGCGUAUGAUAAACUGUGGCAUCAACAAAUAAAACAGUUAUCUACUAGACUACUACUCACCAGUGAUGAAUUUUUAUUUUAAAGUAAACAUGCCAACAAACUAAAGCACAACUUCAUGGUAAACUGUAGGUUAACAAUAAUAUUUAAAAUUGAUAACAAUAUUCGACUCCAUAUCUUGGUCAACUUUGAUUCACAGCAGCUGAAUUUCAUUUUUAUUUUCUUUUUCUAUUCGAGUCAAAACAUUUUCGAGAUCAAAAGGAUUCCACAGGUCUGAUUGAAAGUGGAUUGAAGACAUCCACAAACGUAAGCACAUACUCAAAUUCCAAAUUGAGGGCCAGUUGGUAUACGUGAUUCCAGUAUAAAGAAUAGAGAUAAAAGCACUAGUUUG
rnacentral:misc_RNA from 1 species